GCAGACACAUUCCAGCCAAUCAGCAGCAGACUCUCCCUCCCAGACCCUCCCACCUCCUGGACAGCUUCCAUUUUACAUUCAUUGUGAAGCUGCAUUCUUAGUGAGCUGUCCAGGAGGUGGGAGGGUCUGGGAGGGAGGGUCUGCUGCUGAUUGGCUGGAAUGUGUCUG